rnacentral:lncRNA from 1 species
AUAAGACCAGCAUGUAUUGGGAAAAUUUUCAGGUCCUCAAAGUGAUUAUUCAUUGCGUAUGACGAGCAUGUUCUUGAUCCAGCACCUAAUGGGGAUCGUGUAUUAUUUGCUGAUUAUCGUGGAAUCACUUGGGAUCAAUUUAGAUACAGCCAGCAAUUGGCCUUUGAUAUUGAUCAUAAUACAUUGUCAGGAGGUAUGCCAACUCUUCCUGGUGAGCGGGGCAGGGAUCCUUUUUAUCUAGCUGCUGAGAUAACUAAGAAGGCAAAUAGAUCUUUAAUCAUGCUUUUAAGGAAGAUUGAACUAGAAGGCAAUUGUGUUGAAAUUCUUGAUCAUACCAAAGUCUGUGUCUAUGAGAACGGAUAGGUAAGGCUGUCACGCGCACGUAUUCUGACAAAUCAAGAUUUAAGUGAUGCAGAAAUUGAGAAUCAUCUAAGACUUAAUUAUAGGGCAGCGGUGGAUAUGAUUUUUAUGUUGUUUGAUGUUAAUGGCAAUGGGCAGUAUUGGCUACCACCAGAUAUGGAUCACCUACUUGGAUUGAUGUGGAAUAAUUUUGGGGAUCGGGGAAUUUAUGCCAUACAUGCUGCUCUUGUACUCAUGGUUUUGUAUCCCCGCUUGUUUAAGGAACUGCACAAUUUGAUUUCAGAUAAGAUUAGGGAUUCGGAAUACCAUGACAUCUGUGUUGCACUAGUUGCUAAUGCUCUUGAUUGGAGACGUGAAGUUCAUAAUAAUGACCUCCUUUGUGAAACAUAUUUUUUUAGACAAGGUUUGGAUUAUGUUAUUCCAUACAACUACCCAAAUCAACUUCAUAUCAGACGUGAUCAACUUUCAGCAGAAAAAACACGGUUCCCAUUGGGUGAGUACCCGCUCGAAAGAAAUCGUGCUUUUUCUUAUUCCAUGUACCAUAACCAGCUGUUAUGGCUUCCAUGCGAUGUACCAGCCGAUUCCUCAGAAACCUCAGAAGUUUGUUACAAUCAAUCACAUCAAUCUCAAACUUUGUGAGCAUAGCUAGAUUCUGACCAGUCGAACACGCAGCUUUGAGAGCAGCUUUCUGAGGACCAUUGCAAUAAGACCAGCAUGUACUGGGAAAAUUUUCAGGUCCUCAAAGUGAUUAUUCAUCAGAUAGAGAAGGUGAUUAAUAUCUGAUAGUAGACAAAGUCACCCACUAACCAUAAACAAUUUCGAAAUCAAGUCCGCUGCUGCCCUGGUAAUUGAGUCGUACACGGACCUUAACAGCUGCAUCAUCCAGAUCCUGCCUUGCUAGAAUCCGUACGUGCCUCAGGUUUACCUUCCCUGAGGGAUACACGCAAACGUUGCAUUCAGAAAGAACAUCAACACAACCUCCUUCCAACUCAACCUUUCUUAACUUCUUGAUCAAAGAUCUUGAAGCAUUCUUCCUGAUCUCAGAAGCACGAUAAUACGAUUGAUGACUAUUCUCACCAUGAAGAGAAGGUAUUCCACUGGCAGUUGCUGACUUUAAACUCACUUUCAAUACCAUCUUAUUGUUCCUUCUGAAAUGAUACCAGGUGACUCCACUUUCAGCAGAAACAAUACGAUUCCCAUUGGGUGAGUACCCACUAGAGAGGAAUCGUGCUUCUUAUUAUUCCAAGUACCAUAACCAGCUGCUAUGGCUUCCAUGCGAUGUGCCAGCCGAUUCCUCACAAACCUCAGAAGUUUAGGACCAUCAAUCACAUCAAUCUCAAACUUUAUGAGCAUAACUGGAUUCUAACUAGUCAAACACACAGCUUUAAGAGCAGCUUUCUGAGGACCAUUGCAAUAAGACCAGCAUGUAUUGGGAAAAUUUUCAGGUCCUCAAAGUGAUUAUUCAUUGCGUAUGACGAGCAUGUUCUUGAUCCAGCACCUAAUGGGGAUCGUGUAUUAUUUGCUGAUUAUCGUGGAAUCACUUGGGAUCAGUUUAGAUACAGCCAGCAAUUGGCCUUUAAUAUUGAUCAUAAUACAUUGUCAGGAGGUAUGCCAACUCUUCCUGGUGAGCGGGGCAGGGAUCCUUUUUAUCUAGCUGCUGAGAUAACUAAGAAGGCAAGUAGAUCUUUAAUCAUGCUUUUAAGGAAGAUUGAACUAGAAGGCAAUUGUGUUGAACUUCUUGAUCAUACCAAAGUCCGUGUCUAUGAGAACGGAUAGGUAAGGCUGUCACGCGCCCGUAUUCUGACAAAUCAAGAUUUAAGUGAUGCAGAAAUUGAGAAUCAUCUAAGGCUUAAUUAUGGGGCAGCGGUGGAUAUGAUUUUUAUGUUGUUUGAUGUCAAUGGCAAUGGGCAGUAUUGGCUACCACCAGAUAUGGAUCACCUACUUGGAUUGAUGUGGAAUAAUUUUGGGGAUCGGGGAAUUUAUGCCAUACAUGCUGCUCUUGUACCCAUGGUUUUAUAUCCCCACUUGUUUAAGAAACUGCACAAUUUGAUUUCAGAUAAGAUUAGGGAUUCGGAAUACCAUGACAUCUGUGUUGCACUAGUUGCUAAUGCUCCUGAUUGGAGACGUGAAGUUCAUAAUAAUGACCUCCUUUGUGAAACAUAUUUUUUUAGACAAGGUUUGGAUUAUGUUGUUCCAUACAACUACCCAAAUCAACUUCAUAUCAGACGUGAUCAACUAGCUGCUCUUUAGGAAGUUAGUUUGAUAAAUCAAAAUGCAUCGAGGCUAACACAACGUGAGAUUGAUAUUAUUAAUGGCCAUAAGCUUUUCAAGUUCAUGAGA